rnacentral:lncRNA from 1 species
CCACAAGGGGGUGCCUGUUUGCUGUGAAUGACUUAAAUUUUUCAGGCCCCGCAAAGAAAGAUAAGUUCUUCCGGAAAAUAGGCCUUAAGAUUUUCCCUCAGUGCUUUCCGUUCUAUUGAAUUUAAUGGUGACGUCCGUUCAGUUGUUCAGUAAACAUUUCCUGAGUACCCCCAUGUCGAAUCCAGUGUGCUAGGCACUGUGGGUAGGGAAGAAAUGAGAUGUUUUCCAGGCUUGUGACUCUCCGGCCCCGGCAGGAAAGGAUGUGACCUUUAACCAGGCCAUCUGGAAUUACCUGGUCAGCACCGGUACGGUGAGCUGCAUGACAGACCCCCGCCUUCCCCCAAAGGGAGGGGCGGUUCAGUGCACAAGCUCUGGAUUCGAGCGCAGCUCCCGCUCGGAUGAGCCAUGCGGCUUCAGUUGCUUCACUGUGGAGUGCAGGUCUGCAGACGUACAGGGAGUUUCCCGCGUCCCUAAGUAUGACUGUCAUACCUGCCAAUAGACGGGCUCCCCUUCCAGCAACAGGACGAGUCAGGGACUCCCUCACCCACCCCCUUGGUCCUCUGCCCAGCGCACUGGUUGGCUGUUCAGAGAGUAACACCUGGAAGCCGCUGUGCAAUAAUCAGUGUGUCUCCUAACCACACUGUUCGUGUUCUGGGUCGUGGAUACGGGCACCUGGCUGCCUGGAGACACAUGUCCCUGACCCCACAGUGACCACCGUGCAGUAGAGAAGAGGCCACCUCAGGCGCCUCUGUCUGAGUCUGCAGCCAGCCUCUCACGUGGCCAGGAGGCAGCCCAGAGGCCUUGUUCGAAGGUCUCCCCUGGCAUCUCUACUCCCAUCACUGGCCACCAUCAUCUUGAAAUGCCACAGGCCUGAAGACCAGCCAAAGCUUUCUUCUUCCAGGGCGUGUUUUUGCCUCGUGAAACCGAAGGACGCAACAAGGCCAAAGAUAAGAGGCUGCCAGCGUCUGUGUUACUUCAGGCCAGGGGGUCUCACGCUUGGCUCGACUGACGUUAGGGGGUGUGUAGUUCCUGGCUGUGGGCCUGUCCUGUGCACUGUUGGGUGUUGAGCAGCACCCCUGGCCUCCACCCGCAGAUGUCAGUAGCAUCCCCCAGUUGUGACAACUGAAAUGCCUCCAGACAUUUGAAAUGUCCCCUGGGGGACAAAAUCCGCCCUGGUUGAGGACCACCGCCCUAGGCCGUGGAUUUGGCUUCAGUCCUGGAAAUUGGAAAGGGACAGUGUACACGUGUGCAUUCGGCGCAUGGAGGGACUUCUAAGGGGCCCGUUGGCACGAGUCCUGGUUCUCUCCACCUUCUGCUGUGGGCUCUUCAUCAAGGACAGGAGAGGCCGAUCAGAUACAUCACUAGGUUGCUGUGGAUGACAGUCCGACCCCAGAAACGAAGAAUCCAGGCUUUCUAAAGCACAAGAGAAGAAAAAGGCUCAGCUCUCCUGUGUUCCUUAAUCCGUAUUUUUAUUGUGGUGCCUCAGCUCCUCAACGAAACAAAUAUUCGGAGAAGAGUAGCGUGAGUUCGACCAGUCUUGAGCCCGGGCCCUGCUGUAGGCUCUGUGAAAAGAGACAUGAACAAAGGGACAAGCGUCUCUGUCCUCCGGGCCCUGUGCUCUGGCAACGACAAGUAUGGCAUCGUGCAUAAUAUUAUAAAUUCUUGAGCCUGCUGCCGCCAAACGACUCUGCUCUUCCCCAGGCUCUGAUACAGCCCUGUGCUCAAUCCCCUUUACUUACCUUCACGUCCUAAGUUCUCAAAGCAGGGGACGCAGACAUCAAGCGGAGUUUUGUGCCCCUCGGAGCAUCUGAGGGGGACCCAGGUGCUCAUGGGUCCCGGGGCGCUGAGGCCUGAGGAGUGGGAGCCCUGUGCUUCUGUGUGUGACCACCGGCCCCGAAGCUGUGUCUGGGCCGGCCUAGGGGGUGGGCUGGGGGACGUUUGCAUGCCCUCCUGGAAUGCGUGCACUCGGGACUCGCAACACUUGGGCCCAAGACAUAAUUCUGGGACAAUAUUGGAGACGCUUUUGCAAAGUAUCCACUGCUCCUUUUUUAGCAUCUGAAAGACCUUGUCUCCUGG